rnacentral:rRNA from 1 species
GAUGAACGCUGGCGGCGUGCCUAAUACAUGCAAGUCGAGCGAACAGACGAGGAGCUUGCUCCCCUGACGUUAGCGGCGGACGGGUGAGUAACACGUGGAUAACCUACCUAUAUGACUGGGAUAACUUCGGGAAACCGGAGCUAAUACCGUAUAACAUGUUGAACCGCAUGGUUCAACAGUGAAAGACGGUCUUGCUGUCAUUUAUAGAUGGAUCCGCGCCGCAUUAGCUAGUGGGUAAGGUAACGGCUUACCAAGGCAACGAUGCGUAGCCGACCUGGGAGGGUGAUCGCCCACACUGGAACGGAAACAGGGUCCAAACUCCUACGGAAGGAAGAGUUAGGGAAUCUUCGGCAAUGAGGGAAGGCUGACCGGAGCAAGGCGGGUGGAGGGAGGAAGGUCUUCGGAUCGUAAGACUCUGUUAUUGGGGAGGAACAAAUGUGUAAGUAACUAUGCACGUCUUGACGGUACCUAAUCAGAAAGCCACGGCUAACUACGUG